rnacentral:rRNA from 1 species
UAGGGAAUCUUCCGCAAUGGACGCAAGUCUGACGGAGCAACGCCGCGUGAGUGAAGAAGGAUUUCGGUUCGUAAAACUCUGUUGUUAGAGAAGAACAGCGCAUAGAGUAACUGUUAUGCGUGUGACGGUAUCUAACCAGAAAGCCACGGCUAACUACGUGCCAGCAGCCGCGGUAAUACGUAGGUGGCAAGCGUUGUCCGGAUUUAUUGGGCGUAAAGCGAGCGCAGGCGGUCAAUUAAGUCUGAUGUGAAAGCCCCCGGCUCAACCGGGGAGGGUCAUGGGAAACUGGUUGACUUGAGUGCAGAAGAGGAGAGUGGAAUUCAAUGUGUAGCGGUGAAAUGCGUAGAUAUAUGGAGGAACACCAGUGGCGAAGGCGACUCUCUGGUCUGUAACUGACGCUGAGGCUCGAAAGCGUGGGUAGCAAACAGG